GGCCAGACUCCUACGGGAGGCAGCAGUGGGGGAUAUUGCACAAUGGGGGAAACCCUGAUGCAGCGACGCCGCGUGGGUGAAGAAGCGCCUCGGCGCGUAAAGCCCUGUCAGCAGGGAAGAAAAUGACGGUACCUGAAGAAGAAGCCCCGGCUAACUACGUGCCAGCAGCCGCGGUAAUACGUAGGGGGCAAGCGUUAUCCGGAUUUACUGGGUGUAAAGGGAGCGUAGACGGUAUGGCAAGUCUGAAGUGAAAGCCCAGGGCUUAACCCUGGGACUGCUUUGGAAACUGUUAGACUAGAGUGCUGGAGAGGUAAGUGGAAUUCCUAGUGUAGCGGUGAAAUGCGUAGAUAUUAGGAGGAACACCAGUGGCGAAGGCGGCUUACUGGACAGUAACUGACGUUGAGGCUCGAAAGCGUGGGGAGCAAACAGGAUUAGAUACCCCCGUAA
rnacentral:rRNA from 1 species